rnacentral:lncRNA from 1 species
AACACACACGCGCGCACACACACAAAGCACAGCAGCUAGCUGCAAGCACAAGAAGGAGGCAGCAAUGGCGAGGCAUCGCCUCCUUGCCGUGCUCCUCAUCGGGAUAGUUGCAGCCUCCGCCUUCAACCAAGCAGCUGCGGCUGGCCGAGGCCUUGCUGUCGUCGAGAAAUUUGCAGAGCUAGAGCCAAAGCCAGAACCCAAACCAGAGCCAAUGCCCAAACCUAUGCCACACACAGAGCCAGAGCCAUGCAAACCUGAACCGACGCCCAAACCCAAACAAAAGCCCGGACAGAAGCCUGAACCAAAACCCAAGCCCAAACCGAUGCCAAAACCGAAGCCCGAGCCGUGCUCCAAACCAAAGCCGGGGCCUAAGCCUGAGCCGAUGCCAAAACCCGAACCAAAGCCAGAGCCCAAGCCUGAACCUGAACCGAAACCGAAGCCGCCUUCAAAGUGCAAACCACCGACAACUCACAAUUGAUGGGAUACUUAUAUAUGAGAGUAGUUGGAGGAGACCCCGCACGGAGCCACAAUGUGCUAUUUCUAGAAUAAGUGGUGUAGUAUUCCCUGUAUUCCAUUUCUUUUUAUUUUUCCAUGCGCGCGUGAUGAGUACUAGUACUCUGUAAUUACUAUUUGGUUGUUGGUAUAUGUUCAUCUACUUUGUAUAUGACUCGACUCAUUGUUCUUUUGAGUAUCUACGCAUGAUUGUAUUCAUUCACAUGAAUUAGCUAUUUUGUUAGAGGACUGCAGUCUAUGUUUUUUUUGUAUGGGUUGCAAUCUCGGUUAUUUUCUCUAUGGGAUUGUUUCAUAUUAUGUGGUCUUUUUNNNNNNNNNNNNNNNNNNNNNNNNNNNNNNNNNNNNNNNNNNNNNNNNNNNNNNNNNNNNNNNNNNNNNNNNNNNNNNNNNNNNNNNNNNNNNNNNNNNNNNNNNNNNNNNNNNNNNNNNNNNNNNNNNNNNNNNNNNNNNNNNNNNNNNNNNNNNNNNNNNNNNNNNNNNNNNNNNNNNNNNNNNNNNNNNNNNNNNNNNNNNNNNNNNNNNNNNNNNNNNNNNNNNNNNNNNNNNNNNNNNNNNNNNNNNNNNNNNNNNNNNNNNNNNNNNNNNNNNNNNNNNNNNNNNNNNNNNNNNNNNNNNNNNNNNNNNNNNNNNNNNNNNNNNNNNNNNNNNNNNNNNNNNNNNNNNNNNNNNNNNNNNNNNNNNNNNNGAAGAGAAGGCCUCCCUAAAUUGCAGCACACAUAUGAAAUGUAUAUAGUAUGCGCGUAUGUGUCUGGUGUUCUAGAUGUAUAAAGUGUACUCACACGCCACACAGCGGUUUUGUUCUCUACCCUUCGCCUAUGAACUAAGUCCCGACCAGGUGCGUUAGUAUUUAUACCCAGGCUCUAUGAGUGAGCUGGCUCCAUUGCUAGUUAUACUAGGUAAACGUCACAUACAUUGCUACGGAAAUUUAUAGCAAUGAAAUUUAAAAAAAUACCAUAUAUGUGAAUAAUACUACACAACAUUCUCAACAUAUGACAAUAGAAAACCUAGAUGUAACUGGAGGGUGGAUGCAUGUUAUAUUGUCUUGCAACCUUCAAGUUUAAUUAUUUGUUGUUGAAAGAUAAUAAAUAGUAAAAAAAUAAUAAGGUUAACAGCUUGCGUGUGUUUGAUUAUGUAGAGGGCUUGCAUAUGAUGGAAAGUGAAAAGUCUAAUGAUUACAUGCACCCUUGAUGAUGUAGAGGACUUGCAUGUGAUGAAAAAUGGUAAGUGAAAGUUGAUUGGUUGCAUGUCCUUCAUGAUGUGAUUAAUUUGCAUGUGCAUUUAGACUUACUUAGAUAUAUAGGAUAUGUGUGUGAAAGGUAACUGCACCCCCUGGUCAAGAUUAGUGGCGGAGCUACCCAAAAAUUGUUGGGCAGGUCAAGGUGGCCCAUCCUAAAGGAAACACGUUUUUCUCUCUCAAAAGGCCCAAGUUUACCUAUACUUGGCUAUGGGCUGGGCCGGCUAUGGCCCAUCUGGCCUUGUUGUAGCUCCAACAGUGGUCAAGACUAUCAAGAAAAGGCACCAUGAAAAUUAUAAUAACAGAUUUUCUCUUACUCAAUUCGCAACAAGAAAAAUCUCCCAGUGAUAGUGCUACGCAACAUUCGAGAGACCAUAAUAAUCUCUCACCCAUCCCAUGGUGCUGGCAGGGUCAACUCUAUAAUUUUGAGAGCGCUUGUGUGAAAUUGGCAAAUUGAUAGUCUUUUUCUUUUCUUUAUUGCGCAUGAAAACUCCUUUUAAGCAACAUUAUAGUAACCCUAAAACUGACAAGGAAAGUAAAUAAAGUACAUAAGUAGAAUUUUAGAAAUCAGAGCACUAACAUUUAACAUGCUUCGACGAAUGGGUGGCUCUGGUAAUAUGGCUAUGGGUACGAGGAAUGAGAGGCCUAGAGUGACAAGCUCAUGCUUCGCUGUCACAGAUGUCUGAGGAGGAGGCGAGACGCUCACGUCACCAAGCUACGAGACAAACCUGUGAAGAUGAAAAUCACGAAUUACAAUUAGGAGAACUGGUGACGCCAUGUGUCCGUGUCGCACGCCGAUUAUGAUUCUUUUCCUUUUUAUGGACCAGUUCAACCAACGGCUAAAGGCCUAAAGCUUGCUUCUUGGAGAGCGUGUAUACCUCAAUUUUAGGAAAGCUCCUUCUCAGUGCUUAUAGUGCUCAUUAGUGCCGCAGCGCACAAGAGCUCGCGCGCAUGGGUCAUCGCAUUAAAAGGCAAAGCGGUUGCUUGCUUGGCCACCCACUACACACUUUUUUUGCAAGCCUUUUUUUAAGGAUUCUCUGUUAUUCAAUGAAAAAAAUCCCACCGGUUUUCUAAAUUUAAAAAUUCAUGAAUAUGAAAAUUUUCAAAAAUUUGAAAAACAAUUACAGUUUGAAGAGAAUGAAUUGAAAAUUUUUGAAAAUUUUAAAAAAAAUCACAAAUUCAUUUUUUGUGAAUUUGAAAAAAGGUGAUUCAAAAAAGUUUGUGAAAUUUGAAAAAAAUCUCAUGAAUAUGAAAAAAUGGUCACAAAAUUGAAAAACUUCAAAAAUUUGAAAAAAAUGUUAGAGAAGUUUAAAAAUAAAAUAAUUAGAAAAAGAGAAAAAAAAAGGCAGAAGAGUAAAAAAGAAAAAUCAGGAUGAAAGUUUCCAUAACCAAAGUUGGCCCAUAAGCUUCUGGAAGCUUCCUAAAACCGACGGGAGGGAGCUUCUGCUCAUGUAAAUGCCAUAGAUUGGGCAGCCCUUUUACAAUCUAUUGAAGCAAGAGGUGCAUGCGCUUUUUAUCAAUAACUUGGAAACCAAUGGUAAAUAGCAUAUCUCCACUUUUAGCGCGGCGUAGAACGGAAUUCGACUACAGAUCCACAGUAUGGGCCAAUCCCAACAUGUUUUUCUAACAAGCUACUUUUUCUAUUGGGGCAGAUGUCUCACUCUAACGAGUAGGAUUUUUUUGUUCUUAUUUUCACAUUUUUCUUUUCAUUUUUUCUAAUUUUCUAGAAAACGCUCUAUAACAUAUAUGGGUGAUCAUAUAAUUUAAUAAGUUUUCAUGUACUUUAAAAAUGUUCAUCACCUAUUUAUAAAACGUUUUCAAAAUAUGAAACAUUUUUAAAAUACAAUUACAAUUACAAAAAGUGUUCAUAUUUUUCUGAAAAUAUACACUAUGAACAUUUUGAACAAUACGGAUGAAGAUUUAUUUUAAUACAUGAUGAACCUUUGUAAUCACAAUAUUUUCUAAAAAUACACAAAGAUUUUUAUAUACACAAUAAAUAUGUUGUUCAUACACGAUGAACAUUUUGUAAAAACAUGAGUGAACAUUGCCCAACUCCGAUGAGGAAGGGGCAAUGAUGGUAGUACCCCUUCGGCUUGCUCGACUGAUUGUAGACAUCGCUAGGUGGUCUAUGGACCUGAACAUAAGUUCUAUUACCUCUGGUGUUCUUGUAUUGACAUGAUGGUUGAUAAGUAGAUCGGAUUUUUUCGAUAUUUUUUUAAGAAAAAUGUUCAACUUGUCUUACAAAUUGUUCCGAAGAUUAAGAAAAAUAUAUUCGCAUUUUUUAAAAAGAACAUUGCAUUUCAAUUUUUUCACAUGUUUAGAAAUUGUUCAUGGCAAUAUUGAAAUAUAAAAAAUGUGUUAUUACAGUUUUGGAAAAAUGUUUGUGGUAUAUAAAAAUUGUUCAUCAUGUAUUUAUAAAACAAUCAAACUUGUAUUAAAAAAUAUUAUAUGUAUAUUUUAAAAAUGUUUAUUAUUUUUAAUAUUUUCAAUAUGUAUUUGAAAAUAGGAAAAUGAAAAACAAAACAUGAAGCAAUGAACAGGAAAAGUAAAAGAGAAACCAAAAAUGAAAAACCUAAACAAACCCAAUAAAGAAAACCCAGACAAAACGUUAUGAGAUCACAAGAAACAAACAAAUGCUACACACCUCCACCACUACUGGGCCACAGCCCACACCGCAUCGCCAGAGGUGAGCGCCUCGCGGUAGGCAGAGACAUAGCAUUUGCGUAAAAUGACCGCACGAAUUGAACAAACUGUCGGCUAGCUAGUUAUUAGAAAGACAUGUAACUUAAUUCAAACUCAACAAAAUUAUAGGUACAAUGCUUUGGAUCAUAGAUACAAGAAAUUAUAAAAUAACUCAUAUAACUAAGAAUUACAAUGAAACCCUCUUGAGUCAAAAUAUGAUAAACAGAGGAAAAAACAUUAGCACAUAUAAUCUUUACUCUAUCCGAAUAUAUGGCGGUGCUAAACUCAGCAACCCCAUUAGUUUUGGAGCUCCGGUUUCAUGGAGCCUUUUUUGGAAAAUCAUACAUUAAUAACUAAAACACGCGCGUGCAUGAGACUGGAGAAUGAGGGGCAUGCAACAUCAAAAUAGGUUAGUUUGUCGGAAUUAUAAGAUUUAAUAAUUUGAGACAAUAUGCAUAAUAAAACCCUCACUAGUGCAGUGUCGAAAACGCUCUUAUAUUGUGGGAUGGAGGAGUACAAUUUUGAAACUGUGCCCAGUAUAUCGGGCCAGAGGGAGAGCUUGAGAAAACACUGAGUCAGCGAAAACUCAGGUGUACGAAGCAGACCAUGGAGCCUUGGGGCUUCUUAACAGGUGGUCCUCACGCACGAGGUGGCUGCACAAUUGGGCCAGUUCCUUACCGGAGACCUUUCCUUUCCAUUCAUUGUGAAUUGAACUGAAGCGAUUGCUUUUUACUUUGUAUUGCAUUGCACAAACGUGUACACUGUCUAUCUUAAUUUCUAAAUGAUGGCCGGUCACAUGGACGUGUGAGCACGGGAUUGACAAGGCAACUAACACAAUUCUACUACUACGAGGAGGCAACUGAUAAUAUUGUUACUCACCCUACUAUCAUCAGAUGGAGACACACAAACAUAAUCCACUGGACAAGGCAACUAACAUAAUUUCUAUUACCACGAGGUUGCAACUAAUAGAGUAAAAAUAUUGUUACUCACAUGUACUAUCAUCAAAGAGACACACACGCAGAAUCCAGCUGUGCGUAUUAACACCUCUAGCUACCUCCGUAGGUCGCUUCAUUUGUAAUCAACUAAUCAACCAAUAUAACUCCAUUGACAUGUUACCCAGUACUACUUGUCACUCCAGCUACCUAGCUGCAAUUCUAAUUAAUGCACCCUCCAGAUCUGUUUUGUUUCACCCAGCCUAUAAAACCACACAGUAUGUAUCUCCAGCUCUCCACACAACACACACGCGCGCACACACAAAGCGCAGCAGGUUCAACACUAGCUACAAUCACAAGUAGGCAGCAAUGGCGAGGCAUCGCCUCCUCGCCGUGCUCCUCAUCGGCAUAGUUGCAGCCUCCGCCUUCAACCAAGCAGCUGUGGCUGGCCGAGGCCUUGCUGCCAUCGAGAAGUUUGCAGAGCUAGAGCCAAAGCCAGAACCUAAACAAGAGCUAAUGCCCAAACCUAUGCCACACACAGAGCCAGAGCCAUGCAAACCUGAACCGACGCCCAAACCCAAACCAAAGCCCGAACAAAAGCCUGGACAUAAGCCUGAGCCAGAACCCAAGCCCAAGCCGAUGCCAAAACCGAAGCCCGAGCCCUGCUCCAAACCAAAGCUGGUGCCAAAACCCGAACCAAAGCCAGAGCCCAAGCCUGAACCUGAACCGAAACCGAAGCCGCCUCCAAAGUGCAAACCACCGACAACGCACAAUUGAUGGGAUGCUUAUAUAUGAGAGUUGAUGGAGGAGACCCCGCACGGAGCCACACUGUGCUAUUUCUAGAAUAAGUGGUGUAGUACUCCUUGUAUUCCAUUUCUUUCUAUUUUUCCAUGCAGAGUACGUACUAGUACUCUGUAAUUACUAUUUGCUUGUUGGUAUAUGUUCAUCUACUUUGUAUGUGACUGACUCGUUGUUCUUUUGAGUAUCUACGCAUGAUUGUAUUCAUUCACAUCAAUGAGCUAUUUCGUUAGUGGACUGCAGUCUAUGUUGUUUUCUCUAUGGGGUUGUUUCAUAUUAUGUGGUCUUUUUUGGGGGGAAAGACGAUGUCAACAAAAAAGAAGAAAAUGACUCCCUAAAUAGCAGCACACAUAUGAAGUGUAUAGUGUGCGCGUACGUGCCUGGUGUUCUAGAUGUAUAAAGUGUACUCACACGCAAGACAACAGCCUUGUUCUCUACCCUUCACCUAUGAGCUAAGUCCCGACCGUGUGCGUUAGUAUUUAUGCCCAGGCUGACUCCGCUGCUGGUUAUACUAGCUAAACUUUGCACACAUUGCUACGAAAAUUUAUAGCAAUGAAAUUUUGAAAACUAGCAUAUAUGGGGAUAAUACUACACAACAUUCUCACCAUAUGUCAAUGAAAACCUACAUGUAAUGGAGGGUGGAUGCAUUUUAUAUUGUCUUGUGACCUUAUAGUUUAAUUAUUUCUUGCUGAACAUAAAUAGUAAAAAAUAAUGAGGUGAAGAGCUUUCAUGUGUUUGAUGAUGUGGAGGACUUGCAUAUGAUGAAAAGUGAAAAGUUGAAUGAUUACAUGCACGCUUGAUGAUAUGGAGGACUUGCCUGUGAUGAAAAGUGGUAAGUGAAAGUUUAUUGGCUGCAUGCCCUUCAUAAUGUGAUUGACAUGCAUGUGUAUUUAAAUGGGAUGACUUACUUAGAUACUAUAUAGGAUAUGUUUGAAAGAUAACUACACCCCCUAGGUCAAGAUUACCAAGAAAAACACCAUGGAAAUUAUUAUUAAUAGAUUUUCUCUUACUCAAUUCGCAACAAGAAAAAACACUCAACGACAAUGCUAUGCAACAUAAGAGAGACCACAAUAAUCUCUCACCCACCCCAUGGUACUGCCAGGGUAGGCUCUAUGAUUUUAAGAGCCCUUGGGUGAAGUUGGCGAAUUGAUCAUCCUUAUUUUUUCCUUUUUCAACACUCAACAAAUCUUUUUUAAGAAACAUUAUAGUAACCCUAAAACUGACGAGGAAAGUAAAUACAUAAAUUGAACUUUGAAAUUAGAGGUCUAACAUUUAACAUGCUUCGAGGAAUGGGUGGCACUGAUAAUAUGGCUAUGGAUGCAUGCAAUGAGAGAUCUAGAGAGUGACAAGCUCGUGCCUUGUUGUCCUUGACGUAUGAGGAGGCGGCGAGACUCACGUCGUCAAGCUUCGAGACAAACCUGCAACGACGAAGAUCGUGAAUUGCAAUAAGGAGAACUGGUGAUGCCAUGUGUCCAUGUCGCAUACCGAUUGUGAUUCUUUUCCUUUUGAUGGACUAGUUCAACCAACGGCUAAAAGCCUAAAGCUUGCUUUUAGGAGAGCGUGUAUACCUCACUUUUAGUAGAGCUCCUUCUCAACGCUUAUAGCGCUCGCUGCAGCGCACAUGUGCUCGUGCAAAUGGGUCUUCCCAUUAAUUGGUAAAGCAGUUGCUCGCCCGACCGCCCACUACACUCCUUUUUUGCCGCCUUCUUUUCCUGGUAUUGCUCUAUAUAUUAUUCAAUGAAAGAAAACUUCCACCGGGUUUACAAAUUUAAAAAAAUCAUGAAUAUGAAAAGGUUCACAAAUGUGAAAAAAUACGGAUUUGAAAAUAUAAUUUAUUCAAAAACAUGGACAACUUCUAAAAAAUCACAAAUUCAUUUUUUGCGAAUUCGAAAAGGUGAAUUAAAAAAUUGUAAUUUCAAAAAACUCGCAAAUAUGAAAAAAUGUUCACAAAAUAAAGAGUUCAUGAAUUUAAAAAUAAUAAAAGAAUGCAAACAGAAAAGAGAAACAAGGCGGAAAAGUAAAAAAGAAAAACCAGGCAGAAAGUUUACAGAACCAAAGUUGACCCAUAAGCUUUUGGAAAAUUCCUAAAAACGGGAGGGAGCUUCCGCUCACGUAAACCCCAUAGAUUGGCCACCCCUUAUACGAUCUAUUGAAGGAAGAGGUGUAUGCGCUUUCUACCAAUAACUUAGACACUAGUGCUAAAUAGCAUAUUUCCACUUUUAGCGAGGGGUAGAACGAAAUUUGACUAUAAAGCCACGGCAUGGGCCAAUCGCAACAUUUUCUUUCUAACAAACAAGAUUUUUCUAUAGGGGCACACGUCUCACUCUAAUGAGCGUGUUUUUUUCAUUCUUAUUUUCACUUUUUUUUCUCAUUUUCUAGAAAACGUUCUAUAAAAUAUAUGGGUUUGUACUUUUGGUAAGUGAUCAUGUAGUUUAAUAAGUGUAAAUGUACUUAAAAAUGCUCAUCAUGUAUUUAUAAAACAUUUUCAAAAAAAUCAAACAUUUUUCAAAUACACAUAGAACUGAAAAGUGUUCAAAUAUUUUCCGAAAAUAUACACUGUGAACAUUUUGAACAAUAUAGGAUGAAGAUUUCUUUCAAUACAUGAUGAACCUUUCAAAUAACAAUAUUUUUCUAAAAUUGCACAAUGAUUUUUUUAAAUCCAUGAUAAUGUUUAAAUAUACAAUAUUAUUUUCAUACACGACGAACAUUUUGAAAAAACAUGAGUGAGCAUUGCCCAACUCCCAUGAGGGAGGGGCGAUGAUCGUGGUGCACUUUCGGCUUGGUCGAGUGAUUGUAGACAUCGCUAGGUGGUCUAUGGAACUGGAUGUAAGUUAUGUUACUUCAGGUGUUCUUAUACUGACAUGAUAGUUGAUAAAUAGAUCGAAAGUUUUUUUUUGUAAAAAAUAAAAGAAACAUUUCGAACUUGUCUUAAAAAUUGUUCCUGAGAUUUUGAAAAUAUAUUUGCCUUGUUCCAAAAAAUUACAUUUUCAUUUUUCACAUGUUUAGAAAAUUGUUCAUGGCAAUACUAAAAAUGUUUCAUUAUAAAAAAAGUUCUUACAUUUUUUAUAAAAAUGUUCAUAGUAUAUCAAAAAAUUUCAUCAUGUAUUUAUAAAACGUUCAAAUAUGUAUUGGAAAAAUAUUAUAUGUGUAUUUUUAAAAAUAUUUUGAAAAAAAAUCAGCAUGUAUUUGAAAUAUGGAAAAAUGAAAAAGAAAAUACAAAACAAAACAUGAAAUAAAUGAAGAAAAGUAAAAGGGGUAUGAAAAUGAAAAACCUAAAGAAACGCGAUAAAGAAACCAGAAGAAAAAACCCAAACAGAAUGUUUCAAAAAUCGCACGAAACGAACCAAUGCUACGCCUCCACCGCGACUGGGCCACAGCCCGCACACCAUUGCCAGAGGUGAGGGCCGCAUUUGCGCAAAAUGACCGCACACAUUGAACAAACUGUCAGCUAGCUAGUUAUUAGAAUGACAUGUAACUUUAUUCAAACUCAACAAAGUUACAGGUACAAUGCUUUGAUCAUGCAUACAAGAAAUUAUAAAAUAAUUCCUAUAACUAAGAAUUACGAUGCAACCCUCUUGAGUAAAAGUAUGACAAACGGAGGAAAAAAAUAUUAGCACAAUAUAAUCCUUGCUCUAUCCGAAUAUAUGGCGGUACAAAACUCAGCAACCCCGUUCGUUUUGGAGCUCCGGCUCCAUGAGGCCUUUUUUGGAAAAUCAGACAUGCAUAACUAAAACAUACGUGAUCUAACAUAUCUUAUAUUAGUUUACAGAGGGAGUACAUGCAUAAGUAAAACAUACGCAUGCAUGAGACUGGAGAAUGAGGGGCAUGCAUCGUCAAAAUAGGGUAGUUUGUCGGACAGUUAUAAGAUUUAAUAAUUUGGGGCAAUAAGCAUGAUAAAUCCUCAUUGGUAUCUAUAAUUUUGAAACUGUGCCCAGUAUACCGGGCCAGAGGGAGUGCUUGAGAAACACUUUUUACAAAAAGAAGGAUAACCCCUGAUCUAUGCAUAAGCAAUGCACACAGCCACUUUUAUUAUAUUAUUCAACAAAAUCUGACAAAACUAGUACAUGGACAACAUAAAGCCAUCUUCAUGGCAACCACUUGAGAAAACACUGAGUCCGUGAAAACUCGGUCGACGAAGCAGUCCAGGGAGCCUUGGGGCUUCCAACAGGUGGUGAAGCUCCCGCACAGGGUGUACGAUCGGGCCAAUUCCUUUCCAUUGUGAAUUGAACUGAAGUGAUUGCUUUUUUUUUACUUUGUAUUGCAAUUGCACUAACAUAAUUCUAAUGAUGGACGGUCACAUGGACGUGUGAGCACGGGAUUGACAAGCCAACUAACAUAAUUCUAUUACUACGAGGAUGCAACUAAUAGACUAAAAAUAUUGUUACUCACCCCCGCUGUCAUAACAAAGAGACACACACGCAAAAUCCAGCUGUGCUUAUUAACACCUCUACCUACCUAGGUUGCUUCAUUUGUAAUCAACUAAUCAACGAAUAUAACUCCAUUGACGUGUUAUGCAGUACUCUUUCACUUCAGCUAGCUAGCUGCAAUUCUAAUUAAUGCAGCCUCCAGAUCUGCUUUGUUUCACCAAGCCUAUAAAACCACACAAUAUGUAUCUCCAGUUCUCCACACAACACACACACACACACACACACACACACAAAACACAGCAGGUGCAACACUAGCUAGCUGUAAGCAUAAGAAGUAGGCAGCAAUGGCGAGGCAUCGCCUCCUCGUCGUGCUCCUCAUCGGGAUAGUUGCAGCCUCCGCCUUCAACCAAGCAGCUGCCGCUGGCCGAGGCCUUGCUGUCGUUGAGAAGUUUGCAGAGCUAGAGCCAAAGCCAGAGCCCAAACCAGAACCAAUUCCCAAGCUUACGCCACACCCAGAGCCAGAGCCUUGCAAACCUGAACCAAUGCCCAAACCCAAACCAAAACCCGAACAAAAGCCCGGACAGAAGCCCGAACCAGAACCCAAGCCCAAGCCAAUGCCAAAACCAAAGCCCGAGCCCUGCUCCAAACCAAAGCCAGAUCCUAAGCCCGAGCCGAUGCCGAAACCCGAACCAAAGCCGGAGCCCAAGCCUAAACCUGAACCGAAACCGAAGCCGCCUCCGAAGUGCAAAUCACCGGCAACACACAAUUGAUGGGAUAAUUAUAUAUGACACUUGACGAAGGAGACCUGGAAUGGAGCCACACUGUGUUAUUGUUAGAAUAAGUGGUGUAGUAUUCUCUGUAUUCACUUUCUUUUUAUUGUUCCAUGAGCGCGUGAUGAGUAUUAGAACUCUGUGAUUAUUAUUUUCUUGUUGCUAUAUGUUCAUCUACUUUGUAUGUGACCAGACUCGUUGUUCUUUUGAGUAUAAGUGCAUGAUUGUAUUCAUUCGCAUGAAUGAGCUAUGUUGUCCAGUGGGCUGCAGUCUAUUGUUG